rnacentral:rRNA from 1 species
UACGUAGGGGGCUAGCGUUGUCCGGAAUCAUUGGGCGUAAAGCGCGUGUAGGCGGCCCGGUAAGUCCGCUGUGAAAGUCGGGGGCUCAACCCUCGGAUGCCGGUGGAUACUGUCGGGCUAGAGUGCGGAAGAGGCGAGUGGAAUUCCUGGUGUAGCGGUGAAAUGCGCAGAUAUCAGGAGGAACACCAAUUGCGAAGGCAGCUCGCUGGGACGUUACUGACGCUGAGACGCGAAAGCGUGGGGAGCGAACAGG